rnacentral:rRNA from 1 species
CUACGGGAGGCUGCAGUGGGGAAUAUUGCACAAUGGAGGAAACUCUGAUGCAGCAACGCCGCGUGGAGGAUGACACUUUUCGGAGCGUAAACUCCUUUUAUAUAGGAAGAAGAUGACGGUACUAUAUGAAUAAGCGCCGGCUAACUCCGUGCCAGCAGCCGCGGUAAUACGGAGGGCGCAAGCGUUACUCGGAAUCACUGGGCGUAAAGGGCGUGUAGGCGGAUUAAAAAGUCAGAAGUGAAAUCCUAUAGCUUAACUAUAGAACUGCUUCUGAAACUCUUAAUCUAGAAUAUGGGAGAGGUAGAUGGAAUUUCUGGUGUAGGGGUAAAAUCCGUAGAGAUCAGAAGGAAUACCGAUUGCGAAGGCGAUCUACUAGAACAUUAUUGACGCUGAGACGCGAAAGCGUGGGGAGCAAACAGGAUUAGAUACCCGGUAGUC